UACGAAGGGGGCUAGCGUUGCUCGGAAUCACUGGGCGUAAAGGGCGCGUAGGCGGCCAUUCCAGUCAGAGGUGAAAGCCCAAGGCUCAACCUUGGAACUGCCUUUGAUACUGUUUGGCUUGAGACCGGUAGAGGUGAGUGGAACUGCGAGUGUAGAGGUGAAAUUCGUAGAUAUUCGCAAGAACACCAGUGGCGAAGGCGGCUCACUGGUCCGGUACUGACGCUGAGGUGCGAAAGCGUGGGGAGCAAACAGG
rnacentral:rRNA from 1 species